AGGGGACCUCAAAUAUACCAUGGAGACAGAAACAUACUCAGGUUCAGAUAGAGGAUCUGCAGUUCCAGACCUACCUCUGUCCCCAGUGCCUCUCAGUCCAUAGCCUGGGAACUUGGGGUCUUGAUGGGGCAUGGAGUUGCACCAGGACAAGUUAAGUUUUCUGCCAGGCGAUCUUGGUGUCUCAGAACUAGAAGGGACCUCAGGAUAUAAGUCUGCUGCUGGUCCCAGGAGACCCACCAGGAAAAUAGGAAAGCUGUCCUCCACGUGACAGCUCUGCAUGGCACUCUGUCCACAUAAACUUUCCAUAUGACAACAGCAAGGAGAGAAAGUGCUGGAAAGACUUAGACCACCAUUGAGUGCUUCUUCCCUGAAGUGACACUCUUCUUUUCCCUCACAUGUCAUUGGCCAAAGAAUGUCACAUGAAGAUGCUGAACUGCAUAUCGACAGAAUAAUGCCAGUCCCCCUGAGUGUCCAGAAGGCAGAGAACUGGAAAUAUUUAUGAGCCUCCCUAGCACCGCCCUCUACCUUUGCUAACCAGUGAUGUCUUGGCAGAAUGGAAUUUGGUUCUAUUACUGUCACCAUCACCAUGCUUUCCUUUCCUGCAAGUCAGAUACCUUCUCUGGGUUGGUACUUUUCUGUCCUAAGUCUGGGGUCAGCAGCUAGUGUGAGAGCCUUGGGAGUUGGCACCUAGUCCAUCAUUACUGGAGUAGCCCCUAAAGGAAAGAUGGGCUGGUAGGCUUGGGCCCAGUGGGGAGUUUGCUCUUCGGUGGGCAGAGGUUAGGUUUGCACAGAGAGCAGCUGAUAUGAUAGUGGUGUUUAGGUUUUUGUCUUGGUGUCUGGCAACCAAGAGGUGUCAGGGAGAGCAGUGUGGUCAAGCCCUGUACAAGGCGCGUUACAUGUAUUUCUCACUCUCUCCUCAUGACAUCCCAGUCGCUCCCCUCAUGUUAUAAAGGAGUGACUAUGGCUCCAAGAGAAGAGGUGGGUUAGAUGGCAGAACUGGCUUGAAGGUGACCUGGGUGAUUGCAGGGUCCCUGUGCUUGCUGUAGACCACUGAUCUAUGCUCCUACCCGGAUCAUGCUAUUUAAUUUUGAGUUGGUUUUUGAAAGGGAAGCAAAAUUUCACUAGCAAAGAUGUGGAGGGCUGUCCAAUUUGAGAUGCCAACACAUGAACAGGCAGGGACUAAAUGGGAAGAGGAAGUGGUCCCCUGUGGCUGGCUUAUAAAUUAUGCAAGGGGUUUGUUAUAGGGAAGAGAUGAGAUUUAAAAGUCAGGGUAAUGCCAGAUGGUGAAGGGUCCCAUAACUUCCAAGCUGUGAGAUCUUAGGCUUAACCUAUUUGAACCUUAGUCCUCUCUUGUGGGAAGUAAAAAUGGAAUGUCCUUUAUUGUUGUGUGUGUGUGUGAGCAUGUGUGUGCGUGUGUGUGUGUGUUCUUAUGUCCAAAGAAGUGUGUUUGUGUAUAAAGCACGUAGCAAGUGCUUAGUGAGUAUCCUCCCGGUCUCAGGAGCUAGCAGCUGGCUGGCGGGCUGGGGAGAGCUCUGUGGCUGUCAUGGAGGGCUGGCAAUGUUUUAGCAGCUCCUGAAGCCCCAGGUUUCUCUCAAUUCCAACAACCUCUUCAUCAUUUCCAGCCAUCAGCCUCGGGACCAUUUGGUGUUAAUUACGGCAACCCAGGCUUCUCUGUGUGAAGGAAAUUGUCCCUCAUUUCUCUCAUUAAAGUAAAAUAUGACCCA